GGACAUUGCUCCAACUAUAGGAGCUACAAACUGCCUCAAGUCUUACAAAAGACCCAAACUGCAAAGACCACGAAAGAAACCCCAUACAACCCAGAAGAGAUGGAUUGAGGGCAGAAUGCUCUUGAUUGAAAAAGGAGGCACCCAGGAAAUCUUGAGGAAGUAAAAAAGUGGAGGUAAACAUGCAAGGAACAGCCCUGCUAUUUCCAUGAGUGCUACACUGAAUAAAUAUGAACGAGGAAGCCAACUGCUCCAUCCUUCCCAGCGCAUUCCACAUGCAGGUGUAGGUGUGCAAGCGCACUCGCUCCUCCUGUACCCAAGGUAAGCUUUCA
rnacentral:lncRNA from 1 species